GACAAACGCUGGCGGCGUGCCUAAUACAUGCAAGUCGAGCGGACGGAUGGGAGCUUGCUCCCAGACCGUCAGCGGCGGACGGGUGAGUAACACGUGGGCAACCUGCCUGUAAGACUGGGAUAACUCCGGGAAACCGGGGCUAAUACCGGAUAACUCUUUCCCUCACAUGAGGGAAAGCUGAAAGAUGGCAUCUCGCUAUCACUUACAGAUGGGCCCGCGGCGCAUUAGCUAGUUGGUGAGGUAACGGCUCACCAAGGCGACGAUGCGUAGCCGACCUGAGAGGGUGAUCGGCCACACUGGGACUGAGACACAGCCCAGACUCCUACGGGAGGCAGCAGUAGGGAAUCUUCCGCAAUGGACGAAAGUCUGACGGAGCAACGCCGCGUGAGUGAUGAAGGUUUUCGGAUCGUAAAACUCUGUUGUCAGGGAAGAACAAGUACCGGAGUAACUGCCGGUACCUUGACGGUACCUGACCAGAAAGCCACGGCUAACUACGUG
rnacentral:rRNA from 1 species